ACUGGCCCUCACUGUAUGGUC
rnacentral:snRNA from 1 species